GAUAAAUGGGGAGUUAAACCCCCUUAUGUAGGACUACAGACUACUGCCUAACGUUCGGCCAUUUUACC
rnacentral:tRNA from 1 species